rnacentral:rRNA from 1 species
CUAGCCGUAAACGAUGGAUACUAGGCGUUGUGAGUAUCGACCCUCACAGUGUCGUAGCUAACGCGUUAAGUAUCCCGCCUGGGGAGUACGCGCGCAAGCGUGAAACUCAAAGGAAUUGACGGGGGCCCGCACAAGCGGUGGAGUAUGUGGUUUAAUUCGAUGCAACGCGAAGAACCUUACCAGGACUUGACAUGUCGGCGAAUCUCAGGGAAACUUGAGAGUGCCUUCGGGAGCGCGAACACAGGUGGUGC